rnacentral:rRNA from 1 species
UACGGGGGGAGCAAGCGUUGUUCGGAUUUACUGGGCGUAAAGGGCGCGUAGGCGGCCAGCACAAGUCAGUUGUGAAAUCUCCGGGCUUAACUCGGAAAGGUCAACUGAUACUGUGCGGCUAGAGUGCAGAAGGGGCAACUGGAAUUCUCGGUGUAGCGGUGAAAUGCGUAGAUAUCGAGAGGAACACCUGCGGCGAAGGCGGGUUGCUGGGCUGACACUGACGCUGAUGCGCGAAAGCGUGGGGAGCAAACAGG